GGCCUGGUAGCAUACGGUAUGCGUCUGCUCACAAUAAUAAUCGAGAGUCUCCUGUGUAUACGCAGACGAUCUCCGUUCGACUCGGGGCUAGGCUA